rnacentral:rRNA from 1 species
CAAUAGCGUAUAUUAAAGUUGUUGCGGUUAAAAAGCUCGUAGUUGGAUUUCGGCGGACAGGGGGCGGUUCGAUAUUUGUCGCUACUGCCCCAUUUGUCCGUGUUUUUGGCGGAGGUUUCAGGGUGCUCUUCACCGAGUGUCCUGGUAUGCCGUCAGGUUUACUUUGAAAAAAUUAGAGUGCUCAAAGCAGGCUUUACACGCUUGAAUAUUCGUGCAUGGAAUAAUGGAAUAGGACGUCGUUUCUAUUUUGUUGGUUUUCGGAAAUCGACGUAAUGAUUAACAGGGACAGUCGGGGGCAUUAGUAUUCAGACGACAGAGGUGAAAUUCUUGGACCGUCUGAAGACUAACUACUGCGAAAGCAUUUGCCAAGAAUGUUUUCAUUAA